GACGAACGCUGGCGGCGUGCUUAACACAUGCAAGUCGAGCGAAUCGCGAUGGAAGCUUGCUACUGUCAAUCUUAGCGGCGGAAGGGUGAGUUACGCGUAAUCAACCUGCCCGUCAGAGGGUGACAACACUUGUAAACGACUGCUAAUAACGCAUACGCGCCGACCUCGCGAUCGACGAUGGAUUAAAGGUGGCCUCGGUUUAUGAGCUAUCACGGAAGCAGUGGAUAGCGGCUGAUUAGAUAGGUGGAGGGGUAACGGCCCACCAAGGCAAUGAUGAGUAGCCGGUCUGAGAGGAUGAGCGGCAACACUGGGAUUGGGACACGGCCCAGACCCCUACGGGAGGGAGAAGUGGGGAAUCUUAAGGAAUGGAAGCAAGGCUGACGGAGCAACGCCGCGUGAGUGAUGACGGCCGCCGGGUUGUGAAGCUCAGUUAAUCGGGACGAAAGGACUUCUUGCGCAUAGUAAGAAGAAUUGACGGUACCGGAAGAGAAAGCCACGGCUAACUACGUG
rnacentral:rRNA from 1 species